rnacentral:rRNA from 1 species
CCUACGGGGGGCUGCAGUGGGGAAUAUUGGACAAUGGGGGGAAGCCUGAUCCAGCCAUGCCGCGUGUGUGAAGAAGGCCCUCGGGUUGUAAAGCACUUUCAGUGAGGAAGAACGCCUGGUGGUUAAUACCCAUCUGGAAAGACAUCACUCACAGAAGAAGCACCGGCUAACUCCGUGCCAGCAGCCGCGGUAAUACGGAGGGUGCGAGCGUUAAUCGGAAUUACUGGGCGUAAAGCGCGCGUAGGUGGCUUGAUAAGCCGGUUGUGAAAGCCCCGGGCUCAACCUGGGAACGGCAUCCGGAACUGUCAAGCUAGAGUGCAGGAGAGGAAGGUAGAAUUCCCGGUGUAGCGGUGAAAUGCGUAGAGAUCGGGAGGAAUACCAGUGGCGAAGGCGGCCUUCUGGACUGACACUGACACUGAGGUGCGAAAGCGUGGGUAGCAAACAGGAUUAGAUACCCCUGUAGUC